rnacentral:tRNA from 1 species
CCCUGGUGGUUUGGACAGUAAAGAAUCUGCCUGCAAUGCAGAAGACCCAGGUUUGAUCCCUGGGUCAGGAA